rnacentral:sRNA from 1 species
CCAGUUCCUUGAGGAGGAAAUUGAGAUCUCCAACAAUAUGCUUAUGCUGUGCAGGACUGUUUAUCUUAACUACAGGUACACUUUUGGCAUAUUCUUUUGGUGAAUUUACAGUUUGCCCUCCGAUGCCCAUUUUCCCAGACAGUUCAUUAUGCACAGGCACAGUAGCAGAUCCUUGAAUUUUCUCGAGUGUUGAGCCACUUAUCAUUAUAUC